rnacentral:rRNA from 1 species
GACAGAGGGUGCUAGCGUUGUUCGGAAUUACUGGGCGUAAAGGGCGCGUAGGCGGCUCGUUUAGUCGGGUGUGAAAUCCCGGGGCUCAACCCCGGAACUGCAUUCGAUACUGGCGGGCUAGAGACCGGAAGAGGUGGGUGGAAUACCCAGUGUAGAGGUGAAAUUCGUAGAUAUUGGGUGGAACACCGGUGGCGAAGGCGGCUCACUGGUCCGGUUCUGACGCUGAGGCGCGAAAGCGUGGGGAGCAAACAGGAUUAGAUACCCUGGUAGUCCACGCCCUAAACGAUGUGUGCUAGAUGUCGGGGGACUUGUCUCUCGGUGUCGGAGUUAACGUUUUAAGCACACCGCCUGGGGAGUACGGCCGCAAGGUUAAA